UACGUAGGGUGCAAGCGUUGUCCGGAAUUAUUGGGCGUAAAGAGCUCGUAGGCGGUCUGUCGCGUCGGCUGUGAAAACUCGGGGCUCAACUCCGAGCUUGCAGUCGAUACGGGCAGGCUAGAGUUCGGCAGGGGAGACUGGAAUUCCUGGUGUAGCGGUGAAAUGCGCAGAUAUCAGGAGGAACACCGGUGGCGAAGGCGGGUCUCUGGGCAACAACUGACGCUGAGGAGCGAAAGCGUGGGGAGCGAACAGG
rnacentral:rRNA from 1 species